CCUUUGAUUAAUCUCCCGAGAAAUCUGAAUACAUUUUUUUUUUUUCGACCGAGAGGCUGUUGUUAUCUUGUGGGAUUAACCGACCACAACAUUGACGGCUUGCAAAUAAAUUUUUGGAGGAGCGGAUUAUUUCCGGGUCUUUACAUUAUAAUGAAGUCCAUUCUAACCUCGCUGUCCUUGGUCAACAGGGUUGGUGCUUGUAGCCAUGUAGCAGAAG